rnacentral:rRNA from 1 species
UACAGAGGGGGCAAGCGUUGUUCGGAAUCACUAGGCGUAAAGCGCAGGUAGGCGGUUUGGUAAGUCUUUUGUGAAAGCUCCCGGCUCAACUGGGAGAGGUCAAGGGAAACUACCGGACUAGAGUGUGGUAGGGGAUACUGGAAUUCCUGGUGUAGCGGUGAAAUGCGUAGAUAUCAGGAGGAAUACCUAUGGCGAAAGCAGGUAUCUGGGCCAUCACUGACGCUGAGCUGCGAAAGCUAGGGGAGCAAACAGG